rnacentral:lncRNA from 1 species
GUUCUGUAAGCCACAAUUUCUUGCUUUUUCUCAUUACUUUAUCUAAGUUCUAUCCUCCCUGGGAUCUUCAUUCUACUGUUAUCAUCUUUGAUAACCACUUUCAUCUUCUUGCUUUCUAUUGUUGUGCAAACUUUUGUCUUUUAAUCCAAACCUGCUACACUUUAUCUACCACUUCUCAACCCUGCAAUAUGAAUAAUCAAGAACAUCAAACCCCCAAAAAAAUCAAAAACCCAGGUCUUAGCAUCAUCAAUGCCCAAAACAGAACCAUAGCAAUCAAUAUCCCCCUACUAACAGAACCCAAUUAUCAUACACACCACAAUACCGAUAAUACUGACUUACCUGAAUCUUCUAAUGCCAGACAAUCACCCUCACCUCAACCAACCAUUCCAAGAACCUUUCUUUACUCUGAAACAGUCAUCAAUGAAGGAGUUAACGCCUGCAAACAAAGCAUCAUUGGUAAAAUAAUAACAAAAAAGUCUAUUCAUGCGAGCUCAAUACAAAACGGACUCGAAAGCAUAUGGGGAUCCCCACCAGGCCUCAAGAUUCAGAUGUUAGAAGGUAACUUGCUGCAACUCUUUAUGUCUGAUCCCUAUGAUCAAGAUAGAAUUUUGCUUGGUAACCCAUGGAUAUUCCGUAACGCUUGGCUUGUGAUCAAACCAUGGGACCGAGAGACUGAUUAUCACACUAUAGACUUUGAUCAUGUUCCUAUCUGGAUCCAAUUAUGGGGACUUCCACCUCACUGUAAAACUAAAAAGAUGGGAGAAAGCAUAGGUGCACUACUAGGCAAGGUUGAAGCCUCUGAAUUCUAUGAAUACCCAGGGAAACAAGUCAUUAUCAAAAUCAAAGUGGCAAUCAACAUCCACAACCCUAUACCCUCUGGAAUUCAUGUGGGAAAUCCCACAGAUGGCACAAGCUGGAUUGAUUUCAGGUAUGAAAAACUCCCACAAGUUUGUUUCAAAUGCGGUAUGAUUGGACAUGUAGAUAAGCUGUGCAGAAACCAGCCCCUAAAUAUGGAGACUUUAGCUCCCUUAGGCCCUUGGAUAAGGUCUACUCAGUAUGGAAAAAGAAAAAUGGAAGAAAAGGACAGAAAAUUCUAUAGCAACCCAUCACAUGCUAAGAACUUUGGACAAUACAGUCCCCCUGUACCAGCAGAUCUUCUGGAAAAACUGGCAGCAAUGAAAGUUCAGCAACAAACAGACCCUCAACCCAACCAAAGUCCUAACCAACACCAAAGCAGUUCCCAGCAUCCCCAACAAAAUACUCAUAACACCAUGGAAAGUAUGCAAUCAACACAUGAGGAAAGAAUAAAAAAAGCACACAGAUUAAGCUACAAUCAAGAACUACAAGCAAUAGACACUGCAACUGAUACUGCAACUGAUACUGCAAAACAAGACCAGAUGGUACAAAUUAAAAGGCAGAAAACAGAAGAAAAAUCAAGGGCAGGCACUGCUAGGCAGGCCAGCCCAAAACAAUGAAAAUCCUAGCUUGGAACUGUCAAGGGCUUGGCAAUCCUAAGACAGUGAGAGCCGUUAAGAAGCUCAUCGCCAAUAACCAGCCUGAUCUUAUUUUUCUCAUGGAAACAAAGUUACAGGAAUCUCAAUAUAAAUUUCUCCAGGCCUAUAAGGAGACUUAUUCUGCUUACAUUAUAAACUGCUCAGUGAAUGGUGGAGGCAGAGCUGGAGGCUUGGCUAUGAUAUGGAACCACUGUAAUCUAAAUUUGAAUAUAAUGCAAUCUGAUUUACACUAUAUUGAUAUGUUGCUCUCUAAUCCCCAAAAUACUCAAAAUUGGAG